CUGCAAACUAGAUCACUAGCUCUGCAUGAUGUUGCAGUUGCAAGGGGAACACGUUUGCAACAUUAAUCUGCCGAAGGUAUAUUUAAGCCUUAAAAUCUUGUCUUUUGGGCUAUAUAAUACCUUCUCCGACAAUA